AGUGAACGCUGGCGGUAGGCCUAACACAUGCAAGUCGAACGGCAGCACAGUAAUAUCUUGCUCUUACGGGUGGCGAGUGGCGGACGUGUGACGAAUACAUCGUAAUCUACUUUUUCGGGUGGGUUAACGUAGGGAAACUUACUCUAAUAUAGCAUACCAUCUUCGGUUGAAAGCAGUGGAUAUUCUGAGCGUGCGCGGAUGAAUUAGCCGAUGUUGGAUUAGCUGGUUGGGGGGGUAAAGGCCCACCAAGGCGACGAUCCGUAGCUGGUCUGAGAGGAUGAUCAGCCACACUGGAACUGAGACACGGUCCAGACUCCUACGGGAGGCAGCAGUGGGGAAUAUUGGACAAUGGGCGCAAGCCUGAUCCAGCCAUACCGCGUGGGUGAAGAAGGCCUUCGGGUUGUAAAGCCCUUUUGUUGGGAAAGAAAAGCAGCAGGUUAAUACCCCGCUGUUCUGACGGUACCCAAAGAAUAAGCACCGGCUAACUUCGUG
rnacentral:rRNA from 1 species